rnacentral:rRNA from 1 species
UACGGAGGGUGCAAGCGUUAUCCGGAUUCACUGGGUUUAAAGGGUGCGUAGGCGGGCAGGUAAGUCCGUGGUGAAAUCUCUGAGCUUAACUCAGAAACUGCCAUGGAUACUAUUUGUCUUGAAUAUUGUGGAGGUGAGCGGAAUAUGUCAUGUAGCGGUGAAAAUGCUUAGAUAUGACAUAGAACACCAAUUGCGAAGGCAGCUCACUACACAGUUUAUUGACGCUGAGGCACGAAAAGCGUGGGGGAUCAAACAGG